ACUGUAAUCAGUUGCCUUGGAAAGGAAGGAAACACUGGCCCUUCCUUUAGAAGAGGAUGCUCGUUCAUGGGAACAAGUACUGCACAGAUUGUCCUGAGACCUGAGAUCAGAAUGUUCAAAUCACAGAUCCUGAAAUUCUCAGAUUAGCUCAAAGAUCCUGGAACAUGCCUAACUAAGCACUAUUCACAGCAGACAAGAUGCGGAAACAGUAUAAAUGUCCAUACAUAUAUGAGUGGAUAAAGAAGAUGUGGAAUAUACUGAAAGUGGAAUAUCAUACAGCCUUUAAAAAAGGAAGUUCUGACACAUGUGGCAACAUGGAGGAACCCUGAGGACAUUAUGCUAAGUGAAAUAAGCCAGUUUAAACUCUUCAAAGGACACUAAAUUGGUCCACUCUUAUGUAUUCUGCAGUAAUAACAGUCAACAGCAGCAUGGCAUGAAUGUCUCCCAAAUAAUCCAUCAAUAGGAGCAGAGAACCAAACAAUGCAGAGAAUGUUGCCCUUGGCACCACACUUAGGCCCGCCCUUCAGAGUGGCAUCAGUAGAGGCAAGCUGGUACACUAACCACUUCCCAUCAGUCAAGAUGGGAAGUUCGUCUAAGUCUACUAUUCUACAACCCAUCUUGCCUCCCAAGGAUGGCACGAGACAAUUUGUAAAAUUAUUUACAUAUCAAGCCACUUCAGGAACAUGACAAGCAUACUCUUAAACCUAGUGUUCAAAUCCCAAGUCUAUCGGUUCCUUAGUCUGAGCAAGUUGCUUAAAUUCUCUGGGUUAUAGUUUCCAUCUGUAAACUACUGUAGUAAAAUACUGACCGCAAUAUCUUCUCCACAGACCUGUAGAGAGGAUUAAACGAGGUGGUGCACACAAAGCAUUUCACACCUAAUAAGUACACAAAAUAGAAGCUAAUUUAUUUUCGUGUAUUACUACUGUUUUCUCCAAAUCUAUGUGCGUCUAACUUGCUAUGAUAGUAUAUCUUUUUGAUAACUUAGUGGGCUCGGGGAGACUCAUUCCUGAAGAUAAUAGCAACACAAGAAAUUGUAUAUGUGCAAAGUUGGUCAUACAAUGAACCAGAAGAGCUGUCCAAGAAUAAAUUACCAUAGAGGAAUAUUUUUAUGUAUAGCAUAGGGAAUAGAAUGGAUAUUAUUGGUUGAGUGGAAAUAAAACUUCACAAGGUUUUUUUUUGUUCAAAUGUUUGGAACCUCAGACAUGAACUCUUACUAUCAAUUUGACACUGAAAUAUUUACCACACUAUCUAAAUGUCUUAGGUACUAAAAAAAUAGUGCACUUACAGAAAUUUACAUUGACAAAAAUAUUGACUUACAAUGGAAAACGUAACUUAUAAUGGAAUUUUACUGAAAUCUGGUUCUUUUUCUAAGAAAGUAUGCACUGGGAAAAACAAGGGUUGAGGAAGAAUCCAGUUUUUGGAGUCAGUCAGACCUAGGUUAGAAAUCUAGCUCCCACUCACAUUAGCAAACUUUGCCAUGUGUCUAAUCU